GCUCAAAUUUGAAAUCUUCAAGGGUUUCCCUUUACGAAUUGUAGUUUAAAGAAGUGUUUUCUGUUGAGGUUUUGGUAAAAGUUCUUUGGAAUUGGACAUCAUAGAGGGUGAGAAUCCCGUAUUUGACCUUUACUUUCAACUUUGUGAUACACUUUCAAAGAGUCGGAUUGUUUAGGAAUGCAGUCCAAAAUGGGUGGUAAAUUUCAUCUAAAGCUAAAUAUUGGCGAGAGACCGAUAGCGAACAAGUACCGUGAGGGAAAGAUGAAAAGAACUUUGAAAAGAGAGUUAAACAGUACGUGAAAUUGUCAAAAGGGAAGCGUUUGACACCAGUGUUGUUUUUCUGAGAAUCAAUUAAAGAACUGUUUAUGCUAAGCUGUUUAGACUUUAUCAGCUAUCUGUUUAGUUUUGAGCUUUUCUUUAAUGCACUUUUCAGUUAACAAG
rnacentral:rRNA from 1 species